GUGUUGCUGAGAAGUCCCAGUCUAGGACGAAACAGCUGUCCAAUAC
rnacentral:hammerhead_ribozyme from 1 species